AGAGUUUGAUCAUGGCUCAGAUUGAACGCUGGCGGCAUGCCUUACACAUGCAAGUCGAACGGCAGCAUAGGAGCUUGCUCCUGAUGGCGAGUGGCGAACGGGUGAGUAAUAUAUCGGAACGUGCCCUAGAGUGGGGGAUAACUAGUAGAAAGACUAGCUAAUACCGCAUACGAUCUACGGAUGAAAGUGGGGGAUCGCAAGACCUCAUGCUCCUGGAGCGGCCGAUAUCUGAUUAGCUAGUUGGUGGGGUAAAAGCCUACCAAGGCAACGAUCAGUAGCUGGUCUGAGAGGACGACCAGCCACACUGGGACUGAGACACGGCCCAGACUCCUACGGGAGGCAGCAGUGGGGAAUUUUGGACAAUGGGGGCAACCCUGAUCCAGCAAUGCCGCGUGAGUGAAGAAGGCCUUCGGGUUGUAAAGCUCUUUUGUCAGGGAAGAAACGGUAGUAGCGAAUAACUAUUACUAAUGACGGUACCUGAAGAAUAAGCACCGGCUAACUACGUGCCAGCAGCCGCGGUAAU
rnacentral:rRNA from 1 species